rnacentral:rRNA from 1 species
GACGAACGCUGGCGGCGUGCUUAACACAUGCAAGUCGAACGGAAAGGCCUCUUUCGGGGGGUACUCGAGUGGCGAACGGGUGAGUAACACGUGAGUAACCUGCCCUUGACUUUGGGAUAACUUCAGGAAACUGGGGCUAAUACCGGAUAGGAGCUCCUGCUGCAUGGUGGGGGUUGGAAAGUCUCGGCGGUUGGGGAUGGACUCGCGGCUUAUCAGCUUGUUGGUGGGGUAGUGGCUUACCAAGGCUUUGACGGGUAGCCGGCCUGAGAGGGUGACCGGCCACAUUGGGACUGAGAUACGGCCCAGACUCCUACGGGAGGCAGCAGUGGGGAAUAUUGCACAAUGGGUGGAAGCCUGAUGCAGCAACGCCGUGUGCGGGAUGACGGCCUUCGGGUUGUAAACCGCUUUCGCUCAUGACGAAGCUUUGUGUGACGGUAGUGGGUAAAGAAGCACCGGCUAACUACGUG